UACGUAGGGGGCAAGCGUUGUCCGGAAUCAUUGGGCGUAAAGAGCGUGUAGGCGGCUCGGUAAGUCCGCUGUAAAAGUCCAGGGCUCAACCCUGGAAAGCCGGUGGAAACUGUCGAGCUAGAGUCCGGAAGAGGCGAGUGGAAUUCCUGGUGUAGCGGUGAAAUGCGCAGAUAUCAGGAGGAACACCAAUAGCGAAGGCAGCUCGCUGGGACGGUACUGACGCUAAGGCGCGAAAGCGUGGGGAGCGAACAGG
rnacentral:rRNA from 1 species